GUGCUUGCUUCAGCAGCACGCAUACUAAAAUUGGAAUGAUUCAGAGAAUAUUAACAUGGCCCCUGCACAAGGAUGACAUGCAAACUGGUGAAGUGUUCACCCCACCC